AGUAACACGUGGGUAACCUGCCCUUAAGUGGGGGAUAACAUUUGGAAACAGAUGCUAAUACCGCAUAAAUCCAAGAACCGCAUGGUUCUUGGCUGAAAGAUGGCGCAAGCUAUCGCUUUUGGAUGGACCCGCGGCGUAUUAGCUAGUUGGUGAGGUAACGGCUCACCAAGGCGAUGAUACGUAGCCGAACUGAGAGGUUGAUCGGCCACAUUGGGACUGAGACACGGCCCAAACUCCUACGGGAGGCAGCAGUAGGGAAUCUUCCACAAUGGACGCAAGUCUGAUGGAGCAACGCCGCGUGAGUGAAGAAGGCUUUCGGGUCGUAAAACUCUGUUGUUGGAGAAGAAUGGUCGGCAGAGUAACUGUUGUCGGCGUGACGGUAUCCAACCAGAAAGCCACGGCUAACUACGUGCCAGCAGCCGCGGUAAUACGUAGGUGGCAAGCGUUAUCCGGAUUUAUUGGGCGUAAAGCGAGCGCAGGCGGUUUUUUAAGUCUGAUGUGAAAGCCCUCGGCUUAACCGAGGAAGCGCAUCGGAAACUGGGAAACUUGAGUGCAGAAGAGGACAGUGGAACUCCAUGUGUAGCGGUGAAAUGCGUAGAUAUAUGGAAGAACACCAGUGGCGAAGGCGGCUGUCUGGUCUGUAACUGAC
rnacentral:rRNA from 1 species